rnacentral:rRNA from 1 species
AUUGAACGCUGGCGGCAGGCCUAACACAUGCAAGUCGAGCGGAUCGCGGGACGGGUGAGUAAUGCCGAGGAAUCUGCCUGGUACUGGGGGAUAACGUCCGGUACUGGACGCUAUUACUGCAUACUCUCAGAUGAGCCUAGGUCGGAUUAGCUAGGUGGUGGGGUAAAGGCCUAACAAGGCGAAGAUCCCUAACUGGUCUGAGAGGAUGAUCAGUCACACGGGAACUGAGACACGGUCCAGACUCCUACGGGAGGCAGCAGUGGGGAAUAUUGGACAAUGGGCGAAAGCCUGAUCCAGCCAUGCCGCGUGUGUGAAGAAGGUCUUCGGAUUGUAAAGCACUUUAAGUUGGGAGGCGUUACCAACAGAAUAAGCACCGGCUAACUUCGUGCCAGCAGCCGCGGUAAUUC